CUGCACCGGAGCCCGAACUUGUGCGUUAGUGGUGGUGGUUUUCUCAAGACUCAUUUUUGGUUAGAGACCUAGCUUUCCCCUACCUCCUGUGGUACUGUUCACAGGUGAUCACAAGGACGGUCCACCCCUUGGUGACCUCGGACCUCAGCAAAGUCUCAAAAAUCAUUUCAUUGUCCCCUCUCACGAGCUCGGAAAGACCGUGUCUUCCCGGCUGUGCAAAGAACUGCGGCGGAAGUACAACCUCCGCUCCGUUCCCGUCCUCAAGGACGACGAGGUCCAGAUAUGAAGAAACUGAAACUCAAGCUAAAUAAUGAGUCGAGGAUGACCUUGAACCUCUGAUCUUCCUGAGUGCUGGCCUGAGAACACAGGCAUGUGCUCCUGUACUAGACAUAUACAGUACGCGCUGCCAGGCCUGUGCAUACAAGCACAUUCUCCACCCCUGACUCUACUCCCAGCCACAGGGGUGCUUAUCACCAGGCUGGAACCAGACAGAGACAGGAAACAAAUUCUUCAACGCAAAGCCACGUCUGGUCAAGCUGGGAAAGAGAAAGGCCAAUGUAGGGAGCUCAGGAGGACGCAGGAGUGAGAUGAGCUGUCACGCAGCCAGAGCUAACUGCAGAGGCCUGCUCUUGUGGGGCGUCUUCGAAACUUUCAGAGCGUGUCAGAUGUAUUUCAUCGUCUACUUCAUCGUCCACCUGCUCUCUACUGACCUGUCCCUCUGUCAAUCUCCUUCUGUAGUUUUGAUAAUUUAUGAAU